rnacentral:rRNA from 1 species
GAUGAACGCUGGCGGCGUGCCUAAUACAUGCAAGUCGAGCGAACAGACGAGGAGCUUGCUCCUCUGACGUUAGCGGCGGACGGGUGAGUAACACGUGGAUAACCUACCUAUAAGACUGGGAUAACUUCGGGAAACCGGAGCUAAUACCGGAUAACAUGUUGAACCGCAUGGUUCAACAGUGAAAGACGGGCUUGCUGUCACUUAUAGAUGGAUCCGCGCCGCAUUAGCUAGUUGGUAAGGUAACGGCUUACCAAGGCAACGAUGCGUAGCCGACCUGAGAAGGUGAUCGGCGCCACUGGAACUGAGACGCGGUCCAGACUCCUACGGGCGGCAGCAGUAGGGAAUCGUCCGAAAUGGGCGAAGGCCUGACGGAGCAACGCAGCGUGAGUGAAGAAGGUCUGCGGAUCGUAAAACUCUGUUAUUAGGGAAGAACAAAUGUGUAAGUAACUAUGCACGUCUUGACGGUACCUAGUCAGAAAGCCACGGCUAACUACGUG